AAAGAAAUUAGCUCAAUAGGUAGAGUAUCCGUUUUAUACGCGGAGGGUGUGGUGUUCGAAUCACUUGUUUUUUUU
rnacentral:tRNA from 1 species